CCGGGUCAAGGCAUCUCAGUAAUGCGAAAUCUUUAAUUACAUAAAUUAUGACUACAUUAUCUGUGUUUUACUCAUUGUAAAAAGUUUGUCUCAACCCCACAGAAAAAUAACACACAGGAGUAUCUCUGACUCUCUCUUUUUUCUUUAUCUCUUAAGCAGACUGGAGAUAGCCCUUUUAAUUCGUCUCCCUCAGGAAUAUAUCUAUUCAUAACGGACUAUACCCUUCUUUAUAGCCCUUUUUAACAAUGCACCCAGAGGCCCACCAGGGGACCCCACAGGAAAACAGAAAUUGAGAAGUUUGUUCCCUUCAACCAAGGUGAACAGGAAAAUAUACAGAAAUAUCCGGAGAAAUAGGCCUAGAGAGUUUUCAACUUCAGAUGAAACCUUCUUUUAAGGUGAUUCAGCGCUGUGUACACCUUUAUCGUUCCCUUAACGAACGAUACCCUUCCGUCUCUUUCCCUUAUCAGGGGACAAGAAGGUGAAGAGGAGUAUAGCAUUCAGCACUUUUAGCGCUCCAAGAACAUGAAAACUACAAAACAGGAGUCUCUCUCUAACUUUAGCAAUUCGUUCAACACACGAGGCAUGCAAGAAAGUCCUCCUUCGAACCGUUGUUCCCCUUUACACCCCGCAGCAAACAUGCAAAAAGUUAGUCUCAACCCCACUUGAAGACAAGUAUAUACAAACCAAAACAAACAAGAACCAUAUAGUGGCGUUCAUUUUCAACAAACAAACAAUAUACUCACAAACAGCUCGGAGUCCAACCCCUAUAGUCUAAUUCAAUUCCUUCACUCUCGGCUCUCCAUGCUGGCAGGCCCUGGCCUCCUUCCAAUUCAAGUUGGAGGUCUUUAGCAAAACUGAGUCUUGUACUCCGUACCGUUCAGGUCCUGAUGAUUAGCCCAGCGUGGAGAGUCGAUGAGGUUGUUGGAAUCCUGGACACGAGCCCCCAAAUAUGAUAGGUGAAAAUUCACCCUAGUUACCUCAGGACUCCGGAGCUGCAUAUAAGUAUAUUUAUUAGACAAACAACAAUUGCAAUUGGGCUCACUCACAAAACAAGUAUGAAAGUGAAGCCAUGAUAAACACAUCGCACAAGGUUUAUAUAGACAGAAGUUGAGCGUUCACCAGGGAUAACCACGUGGUGGAUUUCUGAUAUCCGAGGCAAGGAUGGAAGUUUUGCA
ensembl:lncRNA